GCAGACGGGUGAGUAACAUGUAGGUAUCUUCCCUUUGGUGAGGAAUAACACGAGGAAACUUGUGCUAAUACCUCAUAAGUCUUUACGGAGAAAGCUUUAUGCGCCGAAGGAUGAGCCUGCACUUGAUUAGUUUGUUGGUGGGGUAAUGGCCUACCAAGACUUUGAUCUAUAGCUGAUCUGAGAGGAUGAUCAGCCACAUUGGGACUGAGACACGGCCCAAACUCCUACGGGAGGCAGCAGUAGGGAAUAUUGCACAAUGGAGGAAACUCUGAUGCAGCGAUGCCGCGUGAGUGAAGAAGGCCUUUGGGUUGUAAAGCUCUUUCGUCGGGGAAGAAAAUGACUGUACCCGAAUAAGAAGGUCCGGCUAACUUCGUGCCAGCAGCCGCGGUAAUACGAAGGGACCUAGCGUAGUUCGGAAUUACUGGGCUUAAAGAGUUCGUAGGUGGUUGAAAAGGUUGGUGGUGAAAUCCCAGAGCUUAACUCUGGAACUGCCAUCAAAACUUUUCAGCUAGAGUUUGAUAGAGGAAAGCAGAAUUUCUAGUGUAGAGGUGAAAUUCGUAGAUAUUAGAAAGAAUACCAAUUGCGAAGGCAGCUUUCUGGAUCAUUACUGACACUGAGGAACGAAAGCAUGGGUAGCGAAGAGGAUUAGA
rnacentral:rRNA from 1 species